rnacentral:rRNA from 1 species
AAUAUUGGUCAAUGGAGGCAACUCUGAACCAGCCAUGCCGCGUGCAGGAAGACUGCCCUAUGGGUUGUAAACUGCUUUUAUACAGGAAGAAACUUAUCCACGUGUGGAUAACUGACGGUACUGUACGAAUAAGGACCGGCUAACUCCGUGCCAGCAGCCGCGGUAAUACGGAGGGUCCAAGCGUUAUCCGGAAUCAUUGGGUUUAAAGGGUCCGUAGGCGGGCGAUUAAGUCAGAGGUGAAAUCCCACAGCUCAGCUGUGGAACUGCCUUUGAUACUGGUUGUCUUGAGUUACAGUGAAGUAGAUAGAAUAUGUAGUGUAGCGGUGAAAUGCAUAGAUAUUACAUAGAAUACCGAUUGCGAAGGCAGUCUACUAACUGUUAACUGACGCUAAGGGACGAAAGCGUGGGGAGCGAACAGGAUUAGAUACCCUGGUAGUCCACGCCGUA